CCGCAGUGAGAGAGGAGAGGAGGGCCUGACGAGCGGGACCCGCUCGUUAGUGACCGCGUGCAGAGAAAGGGCAGCGCACGCGGCGCGCGCAUAGGCCGAGCAGGAAUGGGCCGGCCUGCGGGCCGAUUUCCCGGCCACUCGCUGCACAGUGUUUUUUUCUUUUUCUUUUUGUGCAGUUUUUGCUAUAUGUUUGAUUUUGUGUAAUAAAUCAUGUGCUGAUCCCAAAAUUAUGAAACUUUUUGUACGGAUUUCAUAAAAUGGAUAGAGCAUAGGAAAAAUAUUAGGUUCUAUUUUUCUGGUAGUUUGCAUGUCUAUAGAAAUUGGCUCUUUUAAUUAGUAAAUAAAAUUUCUAAGAAUUUUAAUAAUUUAUUUAUAUGUCCAAAAAUUACCAAAAUUUGUUGGAUGCCUCUGAUUAUUAUUCCCUG
rnacentral:lncRNA from 1 species